GUCCUCAUCAUCAAAACAGAUCUUCCUUUUGCCCAUGGUGUCCUUGUGCUGUUUAUUUUCACGUCCUCUGUGACCAUUCUAUCUUCAUUUCCUCACAGUCAGAUCUACAGUCAUUUUAUUUUAUUUUUGUGUUAUUGAUUUUAUUAAUUUAUUUUAUUUAUUAAAUCUCUAUACAACUGCUUCCAAAUGUCCUGGAUAAGAAUAUAAAAAAAAGAAAAAUUUGUCAAAACUUGGAACUAUGAUGUGGAUUACGAGCAUCACACAUGCACGCGGAAACAGGACUCGAGAUGAAAGAGUGAAAGACAGACGGACAGAUUGUAUGUGUGGGGAAAACGAGUGUGUGUUGAAAGAGGAUUGUCGACAGAGAGGAAGAAAGACCCUCUCCUCCCCCUUCGAGAAAUGGAGGACAGUUUGGGGAAGAAAGAAACGAAAGGAAAGAAAAAGAGAGGAGGAAGGAAGGAAGGAAGGAAGCUGCUCGCUUCUCAGUUGCUGAGUUUCUGAACUGACCUCUUUCUCCCUAAAGAAGACCCCCCAUGUCCCCACUCACACAGCACUGCAACUCCAGAGGCCACUUCCAGAGUCACCAAGAAACCAAGAGAACCCACAGGGAAAAAGGAGAGAGAGAGAAAGAAGAAGUGAGAAAAGAGACAAGUGUGGUGCUCGUAAAACUUCAUGAAAAAUACAAGAUUGCUCAUCUCUCCACUCAUAAAUGCUACCUCGGACUGGAUCGACCCAAGCACAGCCGCGUUAAUGCCCGGAGGAUGUGGGACUUUACACAGUCUUCCAAACUGGAUCGUCGUUUCAGUCCAGCUGUGCUUAUCUGCAUGAAUAUCAAUACAACUCCACGUUACGUUUCCGUGAACCUGCCCAGGCUUUGUGACUGAGAUUUAACUGGGCAGAAGAUGAUUUUAAAUGGACCACUCUAGGAGACGUUCGGUUUUUUAAGUUGACUCAUUGGCUCCCUUCGCAUCUAAGCUUACCAUGCAAGCUAAGGCCAGUACAGCUGCAAAAAUUUUCUGGACAAAGAAUUGCGUGGAAAGAUUCCCAUACUUGCUAUUUAGAAAGCCAAACCGGCAGGCCAUAGUUAAGUGGCUGGCAUGAUGAUGGUCCACCUGGAUGGACCACCAACCCUCCUCUUUCAUCUCAAACAUCCUGGAUUCCACUUGCACUGCACACAAGGACAGAUAAACUUCCAUCAAAAAAAAACCCUGUCUGAGGGGUGAGCUCAGUACGUCUCCAGACCCUCAGACGUGUGACUUCGAGCGCUACACAGGGAAGAACCUCAGCCUCUCUUCCGGUCUUUCUUUUCAUUCUUUCUCUUCCUCUCUUCCCACACCAAUGCCCCUGCACAUCUCAGCGUUUCUCCUCCUCUGUAGAUGAACUGCAUGGCAUGAAAGAAAUACAACAUAAAAAAAAUAAAAUCAGAGAGAAGAAAGUAGAGAACACAAAAGUUAGGAUGGAGAAACUUGAGAUGUUUCUGAAGGGCCGCUUCUGUUGUACAGAAGGGGGAACGCUGGGCAAAACAGCGGCCUGUUGGGGUAGACGAGACAAGCUUUCUGCAUCAGGGCAACAAAUAUGGAACCUACAGAAGGACGGAGGGGGUUUUCAAGAAGGCAGGGUGAACUUUGAACUAAACACUUUAAAGAGAAUGAAAAUUUAAAAUGCAUUUUUCUGACUUUGUUUACCAGCAUGACUAAACUGCAUGACUCAACUUCUGCAAGCCCCAAACCCCCCAAAAAAGAGGGCUUGGAAUUACUAAAGAGCAAAAUCAUGGGGAAACAAUACAGAUUUAUGUUAUAUGCAAGUAAAUUUAGGGAAAAAUUGUAUUUAAAAAAAAAGAUGUUCUAUAUUUUGUUUUUUGUUUUUUUUUAAUACAAAAAAAGAAUAAUGAAAAAAUAUAUAUAUAUAUGAUUGCAGAUACAGUCAGAACUAUGCUUUAUUAGAUGUAAGAUACCCCCAACGAAAUCUUAGAUGAUCAGCGAGAUUAAUCUCCAUUUCAACUCCAGUUGUUUCUUCUCUAUAACUCCUGCCUGCUCCAGCUCUCCUGACUCUUCGUUCUCCUGCUGACGCCUGCAGUCCGCUCUGGACGUUACAUCCUCCUGUGGCCAGUCUGUGUCUUUGCUGAUGUCAGCAAUCGCAGCACAACUGCUCUGGAGGCCUAAUGCUCAUGGGUGUGGUGCAUGAGGGUCUUGGGUGGCUGCUUCAUCCUGGAGAUCUGAGAUCUUCAAGACAAUGUAUAGUACUUUCUUGUUUUGGACUGUAUAUCAUUGUGUUCUAUCUUUAUGUGGCGAGGCCACGGGGGAAAUUGACUUUUGAAUGUUUUGUUUGUCCAUGAGUCACAGUUUCUUUUUUCUUUUUUCAUUCAGCUAUUGGGAGUACAAAUGGUGAAGCAGACACCCAGGAGUUCUCAGGAGAGCACAUGGAUAGCAGCAGUAUAAUAAUGCAGUAACAUAGAUGGUAGCAGCUGCUGGCGCGUAAGAGCAAUGCUAUUUUAAUAUCACUAACCCAAACCCAGUUUUAAGUCAUGUUGAUCAUAAUCGCUUAAGCUUUUUGAACGCAUAGAUCAGGCUUUUGGCAGGCCCAUAAAUAGAGGUUAUAUAUGAUCGUCUGAACCAAAUGUAGUUGGAAGUUAGCAUUGCUGUUUUCAUUUGUCUCAUCCCUAGUUUGAUAAGGUAAAUUACCAACAUAUCAGUGCACUCAGAGCGGUCCACACGCAAGAACGGCCACUAAAUUCUCAAACGCACCAUGGUGGAUUGAGCCGAAACAAAAAACAAAGGUGCUUUUCAAGUCUUCCUUAGCAGCUCCUUGGUUUGAGGCCAAGAUCCUCCCAGAGGGAGAUGGAUCACAUGUAAUGGAUACUGCUUAUUCAAUAUAUGUGGCUCAAUAGGUCAAAGAAUGAAAGUCACUGGAGUCUCACUCCAGCUUUUAUUGUUGUACCGCAGGAACACAACCAUGUAUGUCUAAAUCGGUGUUUUGAGGUUUGACUUCAAGAACCGAUGCAUGCUUUUCAUCUCUAUGCGUCAACAGGACUAGGCCUGGAUGGGAACUUGAGUAACUACUGAACCUAUGCAAGACUGUUGCAAGACAUGUCACUCACACAGGCAGCAUACUCAGGCCAGUUAGCUCAUGGUUGUGCGUUCGAGUGGUCCGACUAAGGGGCAGAUAAAGUUCAGAACACAGGCCACUACAUCCCUGUGGUUUGGAUAGGCAAGAAGAACCUCUAGGUCAAGCCAAAAAGGGCUACACAAACCAGAGAGGCCGUUGCUGCACCUUAAACAAAGCAGUAGGUCAGCAGAGCCUGGAACGCUGGGGGCAGCUGAGCAGGAGUCCACCGUAUAGCUAUUUUCUCUCAUCCUCUGUUCUUCAGGCCUUCCAUAGGCCUCCCACUUACUAUCUCCCUCUGCUCCUUGCAGGAAGGUGGCAGAGGAACCAGAGAGGAUGAUCAAAACUCAUGCUUUUAAAACAUUGAUGUUCCUAGCUAAAAGGUCAUCAGAUAUUUUCUGGAACUGACCCGAGAACCAAGAAGCGAGGCAGGGAUCGCUUCUUAUAGAGCGAUUCUCUGCCUGCCGUUGUGGCGAGCGCUUCUUAGGAAGGUCAUCCUGUGGACAAAAGACCAAUUUUUGUUGACGCCAUUCAGUCGGAGCAAUAAUUAGGUGCGAUCCCACCCUGCUCUCAUUUUCCAUCUCAUUCACAAUAAGUGGGAAUAUCCAGCGUGCCUGAGAGAUUGUAUCUACGAAUAUUUCUUUGCGGCAUUGAGCCAUGUCGACGAGUCAAGCUUUGAGUGAGUGCACGUGUUCGUUCUCGUACGUGUGUGGCGGUCAGACCGAGCUGUCUGGUUCUUCUACAGAUCGUGUUUCAUGUUUCGGAGGUGCAGAGUGAGACCACACCACCCCCUAAGAUGACUGACAGCUCAACACUCGCAUAACUUUUACUUGAAACCCAAAUAUCAGAACAUAUCAGAGAGGAUUAGAACAAAGCCAGAAUCAGUCUUCACUCUUUCUCUCUUACCUGUAUGCAUUUCUCCUCACCCCUCUCUCUGUCUCUCUCUCUCUCUGUCCCUCUGCUCCUUGUCCUUCUCUAUUUUUGAGAAAGAAGCUCUUUUGCAUCCCUUGUUCUUGUGUUUUUCUAUCAUAUUGUUUGAAGUUGAAUUAUACUGCAUGCAUGGGAUUAAAAAAGAAGACUUUAACUUAUUUGUGAAUGGUCAGAAUGAGGUAACCAUCUUUUUCUCCUGGACCCUCUGUCUGUCGCUCACUUAGAUAUAUACACACACACACACACACACAAAUAUGAGACAUUGCACUUUAAGGUUGGCAUCGCUCUGCAAUUUUUGAUUCUUUUGUGAUUCUGAAGUUGUUAAAGUUUAAUUUUUCGCUCAUUUAUACUGGGAUGCGCUUCCAUUGCUCUAUACCUAAAAUAUCUAUGCCAUUGCAGUUGGUAACUCCAUUUUUAGCGGCCCGGCCUGAUCAUCUGACCCUUACACCG